rnacentral:rRNA from 1 species
GACGAAGGGGGCAAGCGUUGUUCGGAAUUACUGGGCGUAAAGGGCUCGUAGGCGGCCAACUAAGUCAUACGUGAAAUCCCUCGGCUUAACCGGGGAACUGCGUCUGAUACUGGAUGGCUUGAGUUCGGGAGAGGGAUGCGGAAUUCCAGGUGUAGCGGUGAAAUGCGUAGAUAUCAGGAGGAACACCGAUGGCGAAGGCAGCUCGCUGGGACGGUACUGACGCUGAGGCGCGAAAGCGUGGGGAGCGAACAGG